rnacentral:lncRNA from 1 species
UAUGUAUUGAGUGUUUAUGUAAUCGGAACUCUUCUGGGGUUACAAUUUAACUUACUUUCUCACCUCCGAAUGGUUAUCACCUCAACGAGGACUAAAUCCAAUGAUUUUUUUUUAUCUUGCCAAAAUUCCUAUCUAAGGGGUCUGGGGAGUCAUGCCCUACAAAUCAUAAAUUCUCAUCAGAUGGGUUUUAUUUAACCCUAUAUAUCAUGACUUACUUUCCAACCUGACUCUGGCAUAACAUGACGAGACAAGGAAGAAAAGCAAAAUAUUUUAAUAUUUUUACCUCAAAACAUGUUUCUUUGCCAUAUCUUGAAAUGGCCCUGCUACUGUCCUUUGUGGGGGAAAAUUUUCAUCUGUAAAGAAUCUCUAUUAACAUAGCUGGAUCUUUUUCUACCAGGCCCUUCCAAUCAUAAAGAGAUUAACUAAGUGUAGCACCUUUUAUAGAUCUGAAUAGGAAACACUUGUCAUCUGUUGUUUCUAAGGGCAGCCACUAUAAGACUUCAAAAGAACCUUGGUCUCCACAGUCUUUUAUCUUAACAUUUCUUUUCUAUCAACCCCAGGUCUUUAGACAAACUCAACCAAUUGUCAACCAUAAAAUGUUUAAAUUUACGUAUAGCCUGAAAGCCCUGCCACCCCACUUUGAAUUGUCCCACCUUCCUGGACCAAACCAAUGAUUUUUUUUUUUUUUUUUAGAUGGAGUCUCCCUCUGCCGCCCGUGCUGGAGUGCAGUGGUGUGAUCUCGGCUCGCUGCAACCUCCGCCUCCUGGGUUGAAGCAAUUCUCCUACCUCAGCCUCCUGAGUAGCUAGGAUUACAGUGUAGUCUCUGGAGAAAGAAUGCCUGAGCUUUACCAGCACCACCCAGGAAGCCCAUAAGAAUAUUCCCAUCUAUAUGGAUUCAACUGGAACCACUGUGGAGAGAUGGUACCUGCCUGCAAACGGCACUUUAUCCAGGACACCUGCCUUUACGAGUGACCCCCCAACUUGGGGCCCUGGAUCCAGCAGGUGGAUCAGAGCUGGCGCAAAGAGUGGGUGCUGAAUGUGCCCCUGUGCAAAGAGGACUGUGAGCAAUGGUGGGAAGAUUGUCGCACCUCCUACACCUGCAAGAGCAAUGGGCACAAGGGCUGGAACUGGACCUCAGGGUCUAACAAGUGCCAGGUGGCAGCUGCCUGACUACCUUUCCAUCUCUACUUUCUCACACCCACUGCUCUGUGCAGUGAAAUCUGGACUCACUCCUACAGGGUCAGCAACUACAACCGAGGGAGCAGCCGCUGCAUCCAGAUGUGGUUCGACCUGGCCCAGGGCAACCCCAAUGAGGAGGUGGCAAGGUUCUAUGCUGCAGCUCUGAGUGGGGCUGGGCCCUGGGCAGCCUGGCCUCUCCUGCUCAACCUGGCCCUAAUGCUGCUGUGGCUGCUCAGCUGACCUCCUUUUACCUUCUGAUACUUGGACAUCCCUGCCCUGUUUAGCCCCACAGCUCCCAACUAUUUGGUUCCUCUUCUAUGGUCUUGUCUCUGACAGCCACUUUGAAUAAACCAGACACCACACAUG